UAUUUAAUUUUAAUUUUUUUUUAUUUUAUUUUUUUUUCAAUAAGUAAAUAAAUUUAUAGUAUAAAUUUUUUGAAUUAAUUAAAUUAAUUAUUGUAAGUGUACUGUGAAGGAACCAACAAAUUAUAUUAAAAGAACUUAAUUUUAAGGUACCUUUUGUAUCAGGGUUUAUUAAAUUUAAUUUAUUUACUUUAAAUUUCCCGAAAUCUAAAGAUAUAUAUAUUUAUUAAUGUAUAAAUUUCAGAUUGUUAUAUAAUAAAUAUAUAGAGGUUAUAUGCUUUUCAAUUUUGAUAUAUCUGGUUACUUUUGAAUUGAAUUUAAUUCAUAAUUAAAUUGGGAAGAAAAAUUUUAAUUUUUCUUUUAAUUUAAUUAAAUUGUUGGAGGGAUAAGCUUCUUACAAAUUUUAUAAUUUAUUUAUUUAUUUUUAAUUAAAGUUAGGAUUAAUAUUUUCCAUAUCUAUAUUUUUAUAAAAAAAAUUAAUUUUAUUCUUGAUUUAUUUUUAAUUUAAAAUUUUAAAAAGUUAUUUAAUUUAAUUAUUUAUUUUAAGAGAUAAUGAUAAAAUAAGUAUAAUUUGUUAUUUAAUUUAAGAAUUCAGCAAUUUAAAUUCUCGAUUGUUUAAUAAAAACAUUUCUUUUUGGUUUUUUAAAAAGUAAAGCCUGCUCAAUGAUUAUUUAAAUAGCCGCGUUAUAACCGUGCUAAGGUAGCAUAAUAAUUUGUCUUUUAAUUAAGGUCUAGUAUGAAUGGUUAAACGAGGAAUUAACUUUUUUAAUUGAAUUAAUUUAAACUUUAUUUUUUAGUUAAAAAGCUAAAAUAAAAUUAAAGGACGAUAAGACCCUAUAGAAUUUUAUUUAAAUUUGUUUUAUUUUAUGUUUAUAAACAUAAAAUAAAACAUAUAAAUUUGGUUGGGGUGAUUUUUAUAUUUUAUUAACUAUAAUAUUUAUUUUUCAUAAAUUAAUGAAAUUUUGAUCCUUACAUUAAGAUUAAUAGAAAAAAUUACCUUAGGGAUAACAGCGUAAUUUUCUUGGAGAGUUCUUAUUAAUAAGAAAGAUUGCGACCUCGAUGUUGGAUUAAAAUAAAAUUAUGGUGUAGAAGCUAUAAAUUUAAGUCUGUUCGACUUUUAAAAUUUUACAUGAUCUGAGUUAAGACCGGCGUGAGCCAGAUUGGUUUCUAUCCUUAAUUAAUAAUAAUAAUUUAGUACGAAAGGACCAAUUAUUACAAAUAUACGUUUGU
rnacentral:rRNA from 1 species